CUGCUACAACCACAGAAACCACCACCACUGCAUCAACAGAUCCUCCUACAUCCAGUGAAGGAACUGUCGACCUUAAGUUUAGUCUCAACCAAACAUUCUCAUCAGAUCUCUCCAACUCAUCCUCAGAGGCGUAUCAGAUUUUAGUCGCAAAGGUGGUCAAAGAGCUAAACGGAGUGGGUGCAAAUGUGUAUGGACCAUCUUUCCUUCGCUCCAUCGUUAACGCACUAACGAAUGGAUCAGUGGUUGUCGACUCGACCCUUGUGUUCAAAGAUAAAAACUCAGUUCCUUCAGCAAGCAAUGUAACUUUAGAAUUCACCAAUGCGCUUACAAGCCCUUCUUCCUCCCUGAACGUUAUAUCCACCAGCGUUU